CUUUCCGAUCGGGUUUAAAUAGAGCAGGGGAGAACAAAUUUUACAGAACAAACCAAAGAAGAAUGAUGGUUACCUGUAAGGGAGUGAAUACCUUGUCACCAGCAGAAUCCCAGGAUGAAGAUGACGACGAAGACCAAGAUCUGGGAGGGGGCUCUCAAGUAAUUCUUCAUCGAAUCCAUGAUCUACCAGACCAUAAUGCCAUUGGAGAUGUUGGUCGAUGUUGGGAGAUGUAGCUGAGGCUUGACUUGGCCGAGUUUUCUUCCUUUUGAGGUUUCUAGAGGAAUGAAGAGGAGGAAGAAGACUGAGCCAAAGAAGCUUGACCAUUUGCUUGCAGCUGCUCCUCCACUGAGUCCUCAGCCCGAGCCACUGGAUUGGUGGGACGACUUCCAACAGAGAUUUACUGGGCCUUUAUCUGGAUCAGAAUCCAGAAAUGCAGUGAAAUUUGAAUCUGUCUUCAAAAUUUCAAGGACAUUCAAAUGCAAGACCUGGAGUCUGUUUUCAUUUGUCAUCUUCAAUAGUUCCAGCUUUUGGGGAACCUUGGUCUUUUUCGCUUCCAUGACUUGCAACUCGAAACUAGUUACAGAAACCUGUCUAUAUAUUGAUUUUUUUGUCUUUUACCACGAUGGCAAUAAGAUUUAAAUUCAUGACUUUAA